GGUCGGAUGCGGUUGUCAAUCAGGCCGUACAUGGCAGUGAAAGGUGAGCUAUUUUUAGAGGGCUAUAUAACGGCCUCGGCGCUCUCGCCUCGGACACAACGGCCACUGAGCUAAGAGCGAGACCGGAGAGUUACUUCCCUAAGAUAUGAUGGACACCUCUAGCCGAUGGGCAGGCGAUUCUCAGCAUGCCAGAUUUAUGCGCCCAGAGGGGGGGGUCAGGUGUGAGAGGAGUGGUAUAAGUGAGUGAGCGGUCGAAAAGAGGGCAGGUGUGGAAGUGUGCGCAGGGCAGGUGCAAUUGUGUCACAGCUGGACUCUAGAAGCCUUCAUGCCUUACUUUGAGUUGCUCUCCCACUGCUAACCCUCUGUCUCCCUGUGUAUGAAACAGCUGGUGCUCACUGUACCCUCUCUGGCCUCGCAGGACCCUACACCUCACAUACUGGGCCAUGGUUAUAGUACACACACACACACACAGCACAAGAGAGAGAGAAAGAGGGGGGGGGGGGACGUUGCUGUAGAUAGUAUGCCUUGGGGUGUUAGAUUCUUUCUUUAACCACAUACACAUCUUAAAAUGCAAUAAUUUAAAUCAUUGCAUUCUGUCAAUACUUAAGAUCAUUC
ensembl:lncRNA